GCCCGUAUAGCUCAGUGGUAGAGCGCAUCACUCGUAGGAAUCCACUCCUGGCAUGAUGAGGUCCACGGUUCAAUCCCGUGUGGGGGCA